CUUCGGGUAAUGAGGAUGGCGGACGGGUGAGUAACGCGUAAGGAACUUGCCUCUUGGACUGGGACAACUGUUGGAAACGACAGCUAAUACCGGAUAUUAUGAGAUUCUCGCAUGAGAAACUUAUGAAAGCUAUAUGCGCCAAGAGAGAGCCUUGCGUUCCAUUAGCUAGUUGGUGGGGUAACGGCCCACCAAGGCGACGAUGGAUAGCCGGCCUGAGAGGGUGAACGGCCACAAGGGGACUGAGACACGGCCCUUACUCCUACGGGAGGCAGCAGUGGGGAAUAUUGGACAAUGGGCCACAAGCCUGAUCCAGCAAUUCUGUGUGCACGAUGAAGGUCUUCGGAUUGUAAAGUGCUUUCAGUUGGGAAGAAGAAAGUGACGGUACCAACAGAAGAAGCGACGGCUAAAUACGUGCCAGCAGCCGCGGUAAUACGUAUGUCGCAAGCGUUAUCCGGAUUUAUUGGGCGUAAAGCGCGUCUAGGCGGAAAAAUAAGUCUGAUGUUAAAAUGCGGGGCUCAACUCCGUAUUGCGUUGGA
rnacentral:rRNA from 1 species